UGAGAUCGUCUCAAAAGAAACAAACAAACAAAAAACACUUUUGAAGACAUAAGGAACAAUGGUAACAGACAUCAAGAACAAGAUGUACAAUCCCUGGAAAGCAGAUGAAGGUUAAGUUGCUGUCCUGUUCACCUGCCCAGUCUCUGUUUCCUGAAUUUCCUUCCAUUUACAGCAAGAAGCCCAUUCAUUUAUCCUGAAGCUCUCAGUACUUAGGUGCUUGUCCUUCUUGGUAUAAGUCAACUUGGUGUACGUUUCAUUUGAGUGACAGCUAGAAAAGCUCCACUCAAUAGUCACCUUGAUUGGAGGCAGAGGCCAAGUCACUUGCCACACCCAAGUCAGGAGGCUGCGUGUGUACAUGCAUGCAGAGGAAAGCCCAGGUGUAGAGGGGCUGACAAGGAGAGGAGGAAGGAGGAGAGAGGAGGGAGAACUCCUAGCGAUUGAAAGAAAGAUAAAUGGGAGCUACUGGUGUGAGUGGGACAACACAACGGAACCGUGGGAUGUCUGAAGACACUGUGCUCACUCAAGGAAGCGUGAAAGAGAGGAAGAAAAUUGGAGACCCAUAGAAAAUUAACAUUAGAUAAGGAUUCUAGAUGGUUUUUUGGUUAUAAAUACUUAGAGCUACUUGGUUUUAGCCUGAUAUCUACAAGUUAAUCUGUUGAGUUCCAGAUAAAAAGAAUACUGGUAAUGGAUUUAGAAGAGAAAUGAAUAAAAGACUGUUAUAUUUGCUGCCUGAAUAUUGUGAAACAUAUUUAACAUAUUCACAUAUGAGCUAUAAGACAAU
rnacentral:lncRNA from 1 species